UCGGGAAUUUUGGGCAAUGGGCGAAAGCCUGACCCAGCAACGCCGCGUGAAGGAUGAAGUAUUUCGGUAUGUAAACUUCGUAAGAAUAGGAAGAAUAAAUGACGGUACUAUUUGUAAGGUCCGGCUAACUACGUGCCAGCAGCCGCGGUAAUACGUAGGGUGCAAGCGUUUAAUCGGAAUUACUGGGCGUAAAGCGUGCGCAGGCGGUUAUAUAAGACAGAUGUGAAAUCCCCGGGCUCAACCUGGGAACUGCAUUUGUGACUGUAUAGCUAGAGUACGGUAGAGGGGGAUGGAAUUCCGCGUGUAGCAGUGAAAUGCGUAGAUAUGCGGAGGAACACCGAUGGCGAAGGCAAUCCCCUGGACCUGUACUGACGCUGUAGCGCGAAAGCGUGGGGAUCAAACAGGAUUAGAUACCCCAGUAGUCCCUGAGCGGGCUGGCAAGGCGCAU
rnacentral:rRNA from 1 species